UUUCCCUUUCCUGCAUGUUACGCUGUAGUUUGCAUCUUACUCUGUAGUUUGAGUGUGCCCAGUGUUCCCGCCGUCUUGUCCAUUGCAGGAGUCACAGAAGUUCUCUGUCUUUGUGCCCCCCUACAACUGCGACGUUUGUGUUGAGAUGGAGUAUGUGAGUCCAGAAGGUCUUCGUUUAGACGGCCGGCGUCCAUUGGAGAUGAGGCAGAUAAAUGCUGAGAUAGGCGUGGUGGUUAAAGCUGAUGGCUCUGCAGUUUUUGAGAUGGGCAAUACCAAAGUCAUAGCUGCUGUAUAUGGGCCAAGAGAGGUCCAGAACAGGAGCCAACAGCUUAGUGACCAAGCACUGGUAAGAUGUGAGUAUAGCAUGGCCAAUUUCAGCACUGGAGAUCGCUUGAGAAGACCAAAAGGAGACAGACGUUCAUCAGAGAUAUCCCUCGUCAUUCGUCAAACAAUGGAGGCUUGUAUACUGACUCACCUUAUGCCUCGGUCUCAGAUUGACAUCUAUGUGCAAGUUCUUCAAGCUGAUGGAGGAACAAGGUCUGCAUGUAUCAAUGCUGCCACAUUGGCUUUGGCAGAUGCUGGAAUUCCAAUGCGCGACCUAAUUACAUCAUGCAGUGCUGGAUACCUUGUCAACACUCCUUUGUUGGAUCUGAAUUAUGUGGAAGAUAGUGCUGGAGGUCCAGAUUUAACUGUGGGUAUUCUAGCAAAAAUGGAUAAAGUAACGCUUCUUCAGAUGUGCUCAACGACUGCUGUACUCAAGGUCUUGCGCAUAGCUAGUAUAAAGUCAUUCACAAAUCUAAGAGUAAUGCAAGUCAAGGAUAUUGUCUAAUGUGAUCUCACUGGUACAAGAUGGACGCAAAACUACCAAUGCAUAUAUUUGAAAAAGUCAUGCAAGUAGCAAUGGAGGGAUGCAGGGCAGUUGCUCAAUACAUCCGAGAAGUGUUGUUAGAGAAUACCAAGGAGUUGGAAUAUCGAAGGGGUUUGUAAUUUAGAGGCUUAUUGCCCUCUUUCCCUUGAAGUUCCAUGAAAACUACCACAUUGUCGCGUGUGAUUGGAAACCUGCAAUUCAUUCCUCAUCUACAUGUUUCCUCAUUUCUUUCUGUUUGUGUUUUGCAUGCGAGUGGCUGUACUUUUCAAUAGAACUUAUUUAUGCAACUUGGAUACCAAGUGAUUUUUCCCUUUUCUGUUUCCCUAUUAUCAUAAUUUUCUUUAGGCACAUUACUUAUCCACCGAUUCCUUUUCUUUUGUGU